GGAGUCUGGGCCGUGUCUCAGUCCCAAUGUGGCCGAUCACUCUCUCAAGUCGGCUACUGAUCGUUGCUUUGGUAGGCCGUUACCCUGCCAACUGGCUAAUCAGACGCGGGUCCAUCUUGUACCACCGGAGUUUUUCACACUGUACCAUGCAGUACUGUGCGCUUAUGCGGUAUUAGCAGUCAUUUCUAACUGUUAUCCCCCUGUACAAGGCAGGUUACCCACGCGUUACUCACCCGUUCGCCACUAGGAUUCUGCCGAAACAAAAUCCCCGUUCGACUUGCAUGUGUUAGGCACGCCGCCAGCGUUCGUCCUGAGCCACGGAUCAAACUACU
rnacentral:rRNA from 1 species